ensembl:misc_RNA
UUUUGAGCAUCUGGGCCUACAGUCCUCCAUUUAUUCACAGAACAGGUACAAUGGGUAGCACCAGCAGAUUUCCUCACAGUGCUCUACCAAUGUCCCUCAAUCCUAUUCUAAUGGGACAACCUACAGGGGCAGUGAAAGUACAGUAGUUUGGCAUCCAUUGCCUAUU